rnacentral:rRNA from 1 species
AGCGAACGCUGGCGGCAGGCCUAACACAUGCAAGUCGAACGGACCCUUCGGGGUUAGUGGCGGACGGGUGAGUAACACGUGGGAACGUGCCUUUAGGUUCGGAAUAGCUCCUGGAAACGGGUGGUAAUGCCGAAUGUGCCCUUCGGGGGAAAGAUUUAUCGCCUUUAGAGCGGCCCGCGUCUGAUUAGCUAGUUGGUGAGGUAAUGGCUCACCAAGGCGACGAUCAGUAGCUGGUCUGAGAGGAUGACCAGCCACAUUGGGACUGAGACACGGCCCAAACUCCUACGGGAGGCAGCAGUGGGGAAUCUUGCGCAAUGGGCGAAAGCCUGACGCAGCCAUGCCGCGUGGAUGAUGAAGGUCUUAGGAUUGUAAAAUCCUUUCACCGGUGAAGAUAAUGACUGUAGCCGGAGAAGAAGCCCCGGCUAACUUCGUGCCAGCAGCCGCAGUAACAC